GAUGAACGCUAGCGGCAGGCCUAAUACAUGCAAGUCGGACGGGAUUCAGGGAGUAGCUUGCUACAAACUGAUGAGAGUGGCGCACGGGUGCGUAACGCGUGAGCAACCUACCCAUAUCAGGGGGAUAGCCUCUCGAAAGAGAGAUUAACACCGCAUAACAUCAUUUACCGGCAUCGUUUUUGAUCAAAUAUUUAUAGGAUAUGGAUGGGCUCGCGUGACAUUAGCUAGUUGGAGAGGUAACGGCUCACCAAGGCUACGAUGUCUAGGGGCUCUGAGAGGAGAAUCCCCCACACUGGUACUGAGACACGGACCAGACUCCUACGGGAGGCAGCAGUAAGGAAUAUUGGUCAAUGGAGGCAACUCUGAACCAGCCAUGCCACGUGCAGGAUGACUGCCCUAUGGUUGUAAACUGCUUUUGUCAGGGAAUAAACCUUUCUACGUGUAGAAAGCUGAAUGUACCUGAAGAAUAAGGAUCGGCUAACUCCGUGCCAGCAGCCGCGGUAAUACGGAGGAUCCAAGCGUUAUCCGGAUUUAUUGGGUUUAAAGGGUGCGUAGGCGGUCCUAUAAGUCAGUGGUGAAAGACGGCAGCUUAACUGUCGCAGUGCCUUUGAUACUGUAGGACUUGAAUCUAUUUGAAGUGGGCGGAAUAAGACAAGUAGCGGUGAAAUGCAUAGAUAUGUCUUAGAACUCCGAUUGCGAAGGCAGCUCACUAAGUUAGUAUUGACGCUGAUGCACGAAAGCGUGGGGAUCAAACAGGAUUAGAUACCCUGGUAGUCCACGCCCUAAACGAUGAUGACUCGAUGUUUGCGAUACACAGUAAGCGUCCAAGCGAAAGCGUUAAGUUAUCCACCUGGGGGAGUACGGUCGCAAGAUUGAAACUCAAAGGGAAUUGACGGGGGGCCGCACAAGCGGAGGAGCAUGUGGUUUAAUUCGAUGAUACGCGAGGAACCUUACCCGGGCUUGAAAGUUAGUGAAUGAUCCAGAGACGGAUCAGUCUUCGGGACAC
rnacentral:rRNA from 1 species